GUGCUUGCACCUCUGGCGUCAGCGGCGGACGGGUGAGUAAUGCUUGGGAAUAUGCCUUAUGGUGGGGGACAACAGUUGGAAACGACUGCUAAUACCGCAUAAUGUCUACGGACCAAAGUGGGGGACCUUCGGGCCUCACGCCAUAAGAUUAGCCCAAGUGGGAUUAGCUAGUUGGUGAGGUAAUGGCUCACCAAGGCGACGAUCCCUAGCUGGUUUGAGAGGAUGAUCAGCCACACUGGGACUGAGACACGGCCCAGACUCCUACGGGAGGCAGCAGUGGGGAAUAUUGCACAAUGGGCGCAAGCCUGAUGCAGCCAUGCCGCGUGUGUGAAGAAGGCCUUCGGGUUGUAAAGCACUUUCAGUAAGGAGGAAAGGUUAAGUGUUAAUAGCACUUACCUGUGACGUUACUUACAGAAGAAGCACCGGCUAACUCCGUGCCAGCAGCCGCGGUAAUACGGAGGGUGCGAGCGUUAAUCGGAAUUACUGGGCGUAAAGCGUACGCAGGCGGUUUGUUAAGCGAGAUGUGAAAGCCCCGGGCUCAACCUGGGAACUGCAUUUCGAACUGGCAAACUAGAGUGUGAUAGAGGGUGGUAGAAUUUCAGGUGUAGCGGUGAAAUGCGUAUAGAUCUGAAGGAGUACCGAUGGCGAAGGCAGCCACCUGGGUCAACACUGACGCUCAUGUACGAAAGCGUGGG
rnacentral:rRNA from 1 species